rnacentral:lncRNA from 1 species
GAAGAAAGUGAAAGUGCUCAUUAGUAAAUGGAAUUGAUUAGAAGGAUGUAGAAGUAUCUCAGAGUCCAAACAGAGCGAGCCUGCCCAGGGACAGAGCGUGGGACUGGGGCCAGCAUUGAUGCUGUGUCGUGAAUCAUAGCAAAACCACUAUCUAAGAGACAUGCAUAGUUAUAUUCACCUGAGUAUGGAGGAGAAGCAGGCUCACUCCGAUAUCUGGGUGGACUGGAGUGAAAGGAUAACUGGAGAGUAAUAUCACAGACGUCUAAAUAACGAAAUUGUAAGUUCCACCUAGAGAAUUAAGGUAACAGUUUAGUUUUUAAGUGUAUUUUAAAUAUAUGGUCAAACAAUACCAUUUUU